UUCAAUAGUGGGGUUACAUUUUUCUCAGUUCAUUAAGGUUAAGAGCCUGAGAAAGAGCAUCAUUUAACUCUUUAAAAAUUGACAUAACUUACAAUGGUCUAUGGUACUGUAGCUACAUUCCCUAAAUUUCAGAGUCUCAUGAGAAGAAAUAAAUUUUUCCUCCAUGGCGUAAGAAAAUUCUGGCACAUAUGUCCCUGAUUGCAUGGGUCUCCAGAGGGGCUUUGCUCAGAGAUUAUCCUAAGCUAGGGAUAGGAGUCUCCUGCACUCACCACGUGAUUCAGAAAUGUGCUUGUCACCCUCCGCAUGGCAACAGAAGGAAGAGAGCAGAAAGACAGGAUGCACACCACUCCCUCAGUGUUACUCCACAAGGCACCUCCUGCAGAGCGAACCAGACGCAAGGCAAAGGGCUGUGAAGACAAAGUAUGUAGCAACCAGCCUGUCUCUACCACACAGAUUGUCUCAUGUUUUAGUGCUUUUGCCCAGCAAAUAUUUGCGUUAUUUGCUGUAUCUCCACUUAGCUUUUAAAUAAAGAAGAAAUUGAAUGAUUUUAGCUAGGAGGCCUGGCCAGGAAGAGACUAUGCUGCCUCGGAAAGAGUUUUCUAAUAUGACAAAAACGCAUGGUGGAUUGUGUAGGAUACUACACUUGAUCUUAGCCAAAAGGCCGAGAAGCGAUGGAUUGUGUAGGAUAAACAAACAAGCAAAGUCAAACUGAGAUGUUCAGCCAGACAAUUUAACCUAGACAUAACCAUCUGCAACAACCCUAGAUUUUUUAUUUUUAGGCAGGAAUGUAAAGAUUACACACACAUCGUGCCAGUGAUGUGACAGUGAAACAAGAUUCUUUGCCAAAUUCUGCAAAGUCACCAUAGCAUGGUAGUAGACAGGCAGAAGUCAAAGCUUCUCUUUUAAUUCCUUCACAGUGUCUUGGUUGGACAGGUAGAGUCCCUGUUUCCAGAUCAUUCUUUGAACUACAGAUGCAAAACUGGGAAAGUAGCCAUGGUUAUAGGAAAAUUAAAAGAAAACAUCUAAAGAUCAGACACCAUGCCUCAACAAGAGCCUCCAAUUUAUGUGGAAUAAUAAAUAAUAAAACAGGACAGUCUAGGCAAGGCAAGAAAAAUGGAUUUGUUCCCUGCAGGUGUUUGGAGCAGGACUGGCUGUUGGAACAAAGUGCAGUUUCUCUCCCUUUCGAAUUCAAGAGCCUCCGCUUUUGAGGAAGCUGGUGAACACGCAGUCUGCAGGGAAAUAACCUGACAAGCUGUUGUUCACCCUUCCCCACAAUAUACCCACUCUCUCCGAAGUGCUGGAUGGGAUGGUUCUCUAUCACACUGGGCUGCAGUGUGUCACCAGUCCCCUUGGUGAGACAGCUCCUCCAAGCGUGGCUCCAGCGUUAACGCUUCGCACAAAGCCUGUGGGCACAGAGAGGAGGGCUGAGGUGCACACUCUGACCACUCUUCUUGCCACACUCUGAGACUCCCCUCCGGUUGGUCACUCCAGGGAGUUCUUCACCUGGUAAGUGCAAAGUUGCCCGGCUGUUUUCUUAGAGAACGUGACCUCAGAUUUGCACAAAGGCCCCUUAUAGGAGACUCUGCGCCAUCCCAUGUAGGACAUUUUCUGGCUGUUUUUAGAUCCGAAAUGUUCUCUGCUUUGAGGCAAUAGACAGGCGGGCACUCUGUCUUUAAUUCAUGUCAUCACAGUCAGGUUGGAAGGGACUUUUCCUCUUCUCUCAUUUGCCAAGGACAAAAUGCAGACUUUUCUUCUGAGCGCUAUAGGAUGCAUCACAGACCUCCACUGAGAAACCAGAGCCUUUGUUCUCCUGUCUCCAUGUGCUACGAUGAAAGUAACGGAAGAGAACUGGUGGAACGAAGUUUGUCACUAGACUAUAGUCUCUGGAUCACCACUCUAUGUACUUCAGUUUAUGGAGACCCUUGCAGCUGCUGUUGUCUGUGAGAUGGAUAAUAUUACUCCCAGAGAAAGCAGUGUCUUGGAACAUCCCCAUAGGUCUAGCAUAGUUCCACAUACUGGGAAUAUAGCUGUAGCAGGAGGUGGGGACACCGCAGCACGGCUGGGGCAACUUGGGCUGGACCUGACAAUUAAGGAGACUUAGUAACCGCGGGCCGACACCAUGAGCACCCGACACAGGAUCGAGCCAAGCCCUGCACCCAGUACCAAUCUUCUGCUCCAGAAGCGUCCCAACCUGGCUCCUGACAUCGAUCUUACAGCACAAGAUGGAGUGGGAGCACCUGGAUAGACUGCCAAGGAAGACUUCAUCCACUGGGAAUCAUUUUCUCAAGGAGGAAUUCAUCACUCAUAUUCUGAUGAGUCCGCUGCCGACGGCAAAAUGUUGACACCCCCUGCGAACGGGUUCUCUCUGAGGGCAUGGCCACCAUGGAACGCGCUAUUUUACCCCAACAGCGAAAAUCAGCACCACCAGCUCAGCCCCUGGUUCAGACAGCUGUGUUUUCUUCUGGAGUUUGGGGAAGCUGACAUUCACAGUUCAUGACUGUGGCUGAAACCAAGAAGAAUAAGUCUCCCCUCACCCAACAUCUCUCAACCCUGGAAAAAGGCAGCAAUGUCCUCACAUCUGGGCCAAUGUUCCAGAGAGUUUCUGUACAAAUUUGUACCAGCGCUAGCACUGGAUACGAAGAAUCCAGCUCUGCCUUGGUCCCUGAAAAGAGCUUUCUAGGGAGAGGGGAGAGCACGCUGAAAAGUCUUGAAGUGAGAAUGACCUUGGGAUAUCAGAAGAGCAGAACAGAGGCGGUGUAGCCGGUGCAUGGAGACAUUUGGGAGAUGCAGGAGGAGAGGAAAUCAGAGGAGGCAAGAACCGGGUCAGAACCCUGAGACACUGGGCCCAGCUUGGGCUACAUUCUGUAUUCAGGAGGCAACGUGUGUGAGUUUUAACCGUGGACAAGUCUUGACUUGAAUGCUUUUAAUGUUUUCAAAGAACAUUUUGGCUAAGAAUGUUGAAAAGUUUUAAAUUUGCAGCUGGAAAGUACCAAUAAAUCUUUAAUCCCUCGUUUUAUGUUUUCAGAUGGAAAAACUAGAGUUCACAAAAACAAGUAUUUAUUCGAAAGGCUUACAUUUUGUUAAAAGUAAAAGCAGACCUGUCAUGUAAAGGUACAAGAUCCCAGUAAUGAAUAUAACUGUACUGUAUACCUAGAAUAUAGCAAUAAACUCAAUUUAAAAAAAAAGUAAAAGCAGGAUCUAAAAUCAAAACUUUGGUCUCGGCCUACGCUCUUUACACUCAAGUGCCGCAGACUGAUUAGAAUCACACAGGCUGUCCUGAUUGUUUAAUCACAGGAGAACUUAUUAGACAAAGUAGCUCCUCAGAGCUCCCGGGCCUGAGGAUGGCCCAUCUACUGGCCACUGUAUCUGCCUUGACCUUUUUCUCCUGUUCUGUCUCUCUCCUAACUGAUUUGUCUUUCUGAGAGCAGCAGAGAACAGCAUGCCUGUAUCCUGGUGCCAUUCUGAUGAUCCAAGUUUGCUCAUUCUGAAGAAGGCAGUGGGUUUCCCGAAGCGCUGGGGAAAGUGUUCUCCCCAGGCUCUACCCAGCACACCGUCCUGGGGCCAUCAAUGUGCACUACUUCAGCCUCAGACACAUAGAGCUGCUAUUAAGUCUCCCUCCCCGUCACCCCUUGGAAUAAGAGACUGGACAGAAGUAUGCACCCCUCCUCUCUUUCCAAUCCUGCCUGCAUCAGUCCUCAAAUCUUUCUCUGCCCAAAUAAAAAUUUAACAAGACAAAACCUACGCAUUUUAAUUUCUACAAUUAGUUGCCUUAAGGUAUCCUUUCCUGUUUCUUAGCUUUCCAAAGAGCCCAAUUCUGGAUCCUAUUCCAUAUCCAAAAAGACUCCACACUAAAUGAGAACCAAGGAAAACAUGGCUGCCUGUGGAUGGGCUUCUGACAGUCCCCAGAGUCCUUCUGCUGUGGAGUUAGCAUGUAAAGUCUUGCUUUUCAGGUAGCUGUUACUGCGGCUGUAUUUUUCUGUGACGUAAGCAGUGCCGUGCCUGCCCAGAGAAUGGUGCAAAGAAGGAUUUCUUGCUGGAAAGACUUCUUAAUAAGUCAUUGCCUGAGGAUGAGGUGGUCCUUCUUAAUGUACAGAGGAAGAGCUCAGUCACUAGAAGGUAUUUACGGCCUGGGAAAGUGAGCACUUGGCCCUCAGCCAGGCUGACCCACUGACAGGGAGGGUCUGGAGGAGCCGCACAUGGUGGUUUCUGUCUGCCACUGAUUUUUCAGGGAACAGUCACAAGUUGCACCAUCGCACCAGGGAACUGAAAGCUUGAUGGAGCAGGGUUUGGGAGCACAGGUGUUUGGGGUAAUAGAAGGAGCAAGAGAGGGAAUGCCUGAAGGAAAGGAGCUCUGAGACAUUCCCGAGUGUGCGCAGGGCCCUUGUGCCUGUGGACAAUGCUUCUCUGCAGAAUUUGGAAAUGAGAUUGAUGGUCAAACCAGGACUAUAAGACACACAAAGAGAGGGGCCAGAGACUUAUCUCAGUGGUUCUGCCUCCUG